rnacentral:lncRNA from 1 species
GCCAAGAGGUAAACUUGGUAGUUAUCUUUUUUCCUUUCAAUUAUUUAAAAUAGUUUGCUUAGUUAAUCAGGUUCAUAUCAUCUUGAAAAGAAAAUAAAUAUGUUAAAAAUAGUAAGCCCCAUGUGAGUAGACUUGUGGUUUAAAAACCCAUAGGUAUAUUGACUGUGGUGGCAUAAAAUAAAUAUGUUUUCAUCUUACAAUAAAAAUAUAAAUAAUAAGUGCAUGAUCCUGCUAACUAUAAAGGCAAAGAGAUUUUAUGCUAACACUUAACCAGUUCAACAAAGCUUUGUUGUCUAUUUGAGCUCCACAGAAUUUAAGGAUCAAAAGAAGACUAGCCGGCGGAGGACAUAGUAAUCGCUGUCAGGGUGCUGCCAACAUUCAAAUACACCUCUAUCACCUGCUAGCUACAUCAGAAGAAAUUACAUCAAAAUCCAGCUUGGGGGAAAGCACCCCCAUUUAUCCAGCUAAGUGUUUCUACUCGUGUUUAUACUUUACUAAAAUAAUAAAAUGAUGCAUAAUCAUAAAAAAACCUAAAUAAAGAUUUUGUGCUUUUAUAUAUAUCUUUGCUUAGUUUGCUAAAUAAAUAAAGUUUGCUAUGAACCCUUAUGAUAAGCUCUCACAUGGAAAUGAUGAAUAGUUGCUCUGCCAUGACUAGUUCUUAAAAUUGAAAUCUCUCUCAAGUUUAGGCAUAACUGUUAUAAUUUAAACCUACUCUAAACCUGAACUUGUGGGAAGAGUACUUGUUCUGAAGUCUAUGUCGUUAACGGAUAUGAUAUGGGAAGGUUGAGCUGCUGUUUAUCUGUUCCUAGAGAUGCUAGAAUUCUGGAGAAUUUUAUCUUUGAAAUUUUUUUAAAAUAACACUUGAUGAGUUCCUAUAUGAUGAGAGUUUAAAAUCCUACCACAGCCAUAUAUACAUGCUUAUUAGACUUUGAGCCACACAUUUACUUUUUAUUGCUUAUGAGCAUUGAGUGUGGUCAAGCUGUGCAGACCCUUAGGAGCUUGUCAUGCGGUUAAAAUCAAGAUUCACUUGCACGUUCACUCACACAUGCUGCUUCUACUCCGGAAGUACGCAUCCACAUACAUCCACUCAUUUUCAUCUCCAGAUUCACCCAAAAGUAUUCUACUCCUAAAGAGAAUAGCCAAAAAUAUUAUCCUAUCCUUGUUAUUCCCUGUGGAAUAAAUGCUCGAGUUAUCUUGGUUACUACCACUUGCUAUAUUAUUUCAGGAAAUGAGUGCUCUAAAAAAAGAAGAAAAAGAGGAAAAAUACGAGGAAAUAAAAAGGGGCAAGUGCCCAGAACCACGAAGAAAAGAAAAAGUGAGACGAGAGGUAAAAAUGGACAAGUGUCCGACAGUAGAAUUAGGGGUACGAGAUACUCACCUGAGAGGAAAGAAAAAGAAAAUAUAGAGCAUCUCAUUCUCCUCAAAAAGCUUCAAAGUGCAAGAAAGGUAUGUAUCCCCUUAAAAGAGCAAAAGUAGAAUUAGAUUUUCACCAUUGUUAUCACCAUCAUCACCAUACACCAUUCACUCGCCACACAUGCACAUCUUGAUUUGACUUAUUGACUUGUUCUUCUGGAUCCAUGGUUUGACUAUGCAAUAAAUGUCUUGUAAGUAUGUAUUAUCUGUCUCCCACCUAUGAGUUCCAGAUAUCAAAACCUUAUUAGAGUAGGGUGAGAGAGAAGGCAAUAUCACUAUGCCUCAUACCUAAAAUACCACAUACUUUGAGAGAAGGCAUAUACCAUUACUGCCUUGGAAAGGAUCUAGAAAUACAACAAAAGAGAGAUUUGAGAGAGUCAUACAAGGAAUCUUUGAGUUUUAUUUGAAAAUCUGCAAAAACUCCAGAGCUAUAGCUGAUCAAGAAUAAGAGACAUGGCGCUUGACUUGACCGUUCUAUCUUUUAACUGCUCAAGACACAAGUGACGGUUACAAGCCCCAUGAUGAAAGAUAAAAUAAGUAAGUUUUAAGUCUUAACAGUUUACUCUAACUCAGAGAUGAGAUCUUGCUUGAAUGCAUGUGUACUUUUAAGGCAUGAAACCACUGCAGAAACUCUUGAGUUCAUCCUUGCUCAGGGACGAGCAAGAGGUAAGCUUGGGGGAGUUGUUGACCGUCCUUAAGUACCAAAUAUAAUCAUCCAAUAAAUAAAGAAAAGGAUCCAAAUGCAACCAACACCCAGACUUAGGGUUUUAUCUGACAGAAUUCCACGAGUUUUGGUGUUUGUCUAUUUCUGCAGGGGGGUAUCAGGAAAUACGGAAGAAAGGCCCAC